rnacentral:rRNA from 1 species
GAUGAACGCUGGCGGCGUGCCUAAUACAUGCAAGUCGAGCGAACGGACGAGAAGCUUGCUUCUCUGAUGUUAGCGGCGGACGGGUGAGUAACACGUGGAUAACCUACCUAUAAGACUGGGAUAACUUCGGGAAACCGUAGCUAAUACCGGAUAAUAUUUUGAACCGCAUGGUUCAAAAGUGAAAGACGGUCUUGCUGUCACUUAUAGAUGGAUCCGCGCUGCAUUAGCUAGUUGGUAAGGUAACGGCUUACCAAGGCAACGAUGCAUAGCCGACCUGAGAGGGUGAUCGGCCACACUGGAACUGAGACACGGUCCAGACUCCUACGGGAGGCAGCAGUAGGGAAUCGUCCGCAAUGGGCGAAAGCCUGACGGAGCAACGCCGCGUGAGUGAUGAAGGUCUUCGGAUCGUAAAACUCUGUUAUUAGGGAAGAACAUAUGUGUAAGUAACUGUGCACAUCUUGACGGUACCUAAUCAGAAAGCAACGGCUAACUACGUG